rnacentral:rRNA from 1 species
AGCGGCGGACGGGUGAGUAACACGUGGGUAACCUGCCUGUAAGACUGGGAUAACUCCGGGAAACCGGAGCUAAUACCGGAUAGUUCCUUGAACCGCAUGGUUCAAGGAUGAAAGACGGUUUCGGCUGUCACUUACAGAUGGACCCGCGGCGCAUUAGCUAGUUGGUGGGGUAAUGGCUCACCAAGGCGACGAUGCGUAGCCGACCUGAGAGGGUGAUCGGCCACACUGGGACUGAGACACGGCCCAGACUCCUACGGGAGGCAGCAGUAGGGAAUCUUCCGCAAUGGACGAAAGUCUGACGGAGCAACGCCGCGUGAGUGAUGAAGGUUUUCGGAUCGUAAAGCUCUGUUGUUAGGGAAGAACAAGUGCGAGAGUAACUGCUCGCACCUUGACGGUACCUAACCAGAAAGCCACGGCUAACUACGUGCCAGCAGCCGCGGUAAUACGUAGGUGGCAAGCGUUGUCCGGAAUUAUUGGGCGUAAAGGGCUCGCAGGCGGUUUCUUAAGUCUGAUGUGAAAGCCCCCGGCUCAACCGGGGAGGGUCAUUGGAAACUGGGAAACUUGAGUGCAGAAGAGGAGAGUGGAAUUCCACGUGUAGCGGUGAAAUGCGUAGAGAUGUGGAGGAACACCAGUGGCGAAGGCGACUCUCUGGUCUGUAACUGACGCUGAGGAGCGAAAGCGUGGGGAGCGAACAGGAUUAGAUACCCUGGUAGUCCACGCCGUAAACGAUGAGUGCUAAGUGUUAGGGGGUUUCCGCCCCUUAGUGCUGCAGCUAACGCAUUAAGCACUCCGCCUGGGGAGUACGGUCGCAAGACUGAAACUCAAAGGAAUUGACGGGGGCCCGCACAAGCGGUGGAGCAUGUGGUUUAAUUCGAAGCAACGCGAAGAACCUUACCAGGUCUUGACAUCCUCUGACAACCCUAGAGAUAGGGCUUUCCCUUCGGGGACAGAGUGACAGGUGGUGCAUGGUUGUCGUCAGCUCGUGUCGUGAGAUGUUGGGUUAAGUCCCGCAACGAGCGCAACCCUUGAUCUUAGUUGCCAGCAUUCAG